CCAGAACACACAAGGACGUAGUAAGGCCACCUUACAUCUGACUGUUGCAGCAGGUGCAUGGAAAUCAGCAGUGACUGGAACAACCACAGCUCUUCUCCUGGUGGUCAUACUCCUCGCUGUCUUCCUGUGGAUCAGAAGAAACAAGUCCUUCACACAACAGCGUGAGUGCGGUGAGAGACCAGAAGACAGAGCGCAGAUUUCAGCUGCGGCACACACACAACCAGCAGAGCCGCACCAUGACGUCCACUACGCCAGCGUCUGCUUCUCGCAGAACCGGGCAGAUGCCAUCUACUCCAA